rnacentral:rRNA from 1 species
UACAGAGGGUGCGAGCGUUAAUCGGAAUUACUGGGCGUAAAGAGCGCGCAGGCGGUCGUUCAAGUCGCGUGUGAAAGCCCCCGGCUCAACUGGGGAGGGUCACGCGAUACUGUUCGACUCGAAGGCAGGAGAGGGAAGUGGAAUUCCCGGUGUAGUGGUGAAAUGCGUAGAUAUCGGGAGGAACACCAGUGGCGAAGGCGACUUCCUGGCCUGUUCUUGACGCUGAGGCGCGAAAGCUAGGGUAGCAAACGGG